GGCUGGAUAUGUCCAGCCAAUCCAAAGGUGCACUCCAAGAGAUUACCAAAAAUUCUGGAAAAAGUUGACUUCAUCAGUAGACAAUAGUUCAGCAGAUCUCUGCUAUAUUCUUUUCAUUUCUUGCUCAAUAAUUGAGACUAAAACAUCUGAUCUUUGAUAUCACCCAAACCCGAUUCACUACCUCUCUUCAUCAAGGUAUGUUUCAUCUCUUCUCCUAUAUGCUGCCGCCAUUGAAUUUAGAUAGUUUUAUGCUGUGCAUUUCUGAAUUUCCGUUAGUAUUUUCGUUCUUUUAUCCGUACUGUUUUCUAAUUAGAAUGCGAAUUAUUGUGUUGUUUAGCUAAUUUCAUGCUCAAUAUUGAGACAACUGACUGUAAUUUGAGUUUCAGAAACGAUUUGGAGCUAUUCAAUGGCUUUUGCAGUUGUAACCUCUCUACUAGAAAUAGUAGAUCAGCGGCUUCAGCCAAAUCCAUCUCUGAUUCUUAACGAUGAAGAAAUUAUUGAGUCAUUGUCGCACAAGCUCCGCAUUUUGCAAGCAUUUUUGGAAGAAUCUGGGAAGAGAUCCAAGGAUCCUCGUGUUAAGGAAACGUUGGAAGCUAAUAUCCGAGAUGUAGCUGUUGAAGCAGAAGGGGAAAUAGAGUCUAAAUUGAGAAAAAUUUAUUUGGCUGCUAAUAGGAAAGAGUGUGUGGAGGCUUGUCAAGGUCUUCAUAAGACCUUGAAAGGUCUUCGUAAGACCUUGAAACAAAUAGUAAAAGAUAUUGAGCAAGUUCAAACAGGGGAAUGGAAAGUGAGUACUGUUUCACAUGUUGGUUCAUCCCCAAAUGAUUUUGAGGAAGAGAAUGCCAUGGCUAGGGGUGCCUCCGAAAACGCUGUAGAGAUUGAGAAUGAAAUCAUUGUAGGGUUCACUGAAGACAUAGUGGAGUUAGUGGACAGGCUAAAGUCCCAGAAAGACGAAGUUAUUUCACUCGUUGGGGAAGGUGGCAUUGGAAAGACUACGUUAGCUAAAAUAAUCUUUGAGCAUGAAAAUAUUAUUGCUCAUUUUGGCAUUCGAGCAUCAGUUGUUGUGUCUCAAGAACUUGAUAUCAAAAAGAUGCUCAUUGGUUUAUUGCGUUUUAUUUUGCCGAUGACCAGUGAAAUCUCCAACAAAGACGAAACUCAGCUUAGAGAUGAACUACGCAAAAGAUUGAUGGAGCAUAAGUAUUUAAUUGUAUUAGAUGACGUGUGGACUACUUCAGCUUGGGAUGCCAUCAAAGUAUGUAUUCCAGAUAAGGAUGAUGGAAGUAAAAUCAUGAUUACUACUCGGAUCUAUGAGGUGGCUAGAUUUGUUAGUGAGCGUCCACACAAUAUGAAGUCCCAAACUCCAUACAAAAGCUUGGAAUUAUUUUCGAGGAAAGUGUUUAGGGAAGGAUGUUUAUGCACCCCUGAACUUGAGAAACUUGGGUGUGAAAUUGUAAAUUGUUGCGGUGGAUUACCGCUGGCAAUUCUUGUGAUUGCUGGACUUUUGUCUACAGUUAAAGGGUCACUAGAAAUAUGGACAGAUGUAGUAGACGCUUUGCGUGGAAUGGAUAGUACUGAUAACAGAAUUUCAAAAAUACUAUCAUUGGGCUUCGACUACUUGCCAAGUCACUUAAAAGCUUGCUUUCUUUAUUUUGGAGUUUUUCCUGAAGAUAGUGACAUUCUUGUUAAGAAAAUAAUCAACUUAUGGGUUGCGGAAGGAUUUUUAAAACCAAAGAAGAAUAAGAGUUCAGAAGAAGGGGCAAAGAAUUGCUUGCUUGAUCUUAUUACCAGAAAUCUAGUUCAAGUUAACGAACUAAGUAUUGACGGCAAGAUCAAGUCGUGUAAGAUUCAUGAUCGAUUACACGAGAUUUGUGUCAGAGAAGCUAAAAGGGAGAAUAUUAUUUGUGUCAUUGAUGAAAAACAUGCUCCCAAAGAUGGUCGUUGGAUAAGUUGUCAAUCAAGUCGUUGGCCAAUCACUCGAGAAAGUUAUAAGACUCACACCUCCAAGAAAAUCCAUUCCCUUCUAUACUUGGGUAAAGAGUUAUACCUUUUAAAAUGCAGGUUGUCAUACCCUUGUUUGGAAUUGUUAAGAGUAUUGGAUUUAUCAUUAAUUAAAUGCUUGCAUGGCAUGCCUAGUGGAAUAGUAGAUUUGAUUCAUUUAAGAUACUUGGCUUUAAACACUAUAGGUUCUCUUUAUAAGUUUCAAUUGUUGAAGCUUAAAAAUUUGCAAACUCUCAUUGUUUGUUCAUGGAUGGAAGAGUACCCUUUGCAAUUGCAAUCCAAUAUUUUGGAUUUGCCACAAUUGAGGCACUUGCACCUUCAAAAGAGAUGUUCACAAUAUCUCCCAAGCAAGGAUCGAAAAAAUCUGCAAACUCUUUAUUGGUUGAAAGUUACUAGCGCAGACCGAAAUCCAAACUUUAAAAUGGUUCCAAACUUGAAGGAACUUGGGAUUUAUGUAGAAGGUGAACUGCUGUCUGGUUGUCUUGAGAGCCUUGUCCAUUUACCUCUGCUUGAGAAGUUAAAAUUUAGAAUUGGAAGGGUUGACCGGUUUUGUCUUCCUACCGGCUUUCCAUCAAAGCUUAAGAAGUUGACACUCUGUAGUACAUAUCUUCCUUGGGAGGAGAUGGGCGUAAUUGGUAACUUGUCUAACCUUGAGGUACUCAAAUUGAAAGAUUUUGCCUUUUGCGGCCCAAAAUGGGAACCAAUAGAGGGGGAGUUUAAGAGAUUAAAGGUGCUUCUUAUUGCACGAUCAGAUCUUAAACAAUGGGAACUAAAUGUUUAUCAUUUCCCAAUUUUGGAGCGUCUAAUCCUAAGGUAUUGUUGGGACUUGAAAGAAGUUCCUAAUUGUUUUGCCAAAAUUGGAACAAUGAAAUUAAUUGUGUUAGACAGUUGUACAUCUUCUCUUGUGGGUUCUACAAAGAAGUGGUUAGAAGGGAUGACAGAUUGUCCACUUCGUCUUCGUCAAGUUGGAACUAAGGUUGAAUUGCCAGAUAAUGAAAGCUUUGAAGAAGUAACUCUAGAAAGCUCUGAAGAAGAAAGUGUGGAAAGCUCUAAAGAAGAAAGUGUGAAAAGCUCCAAAAAAGAAAGUCUGAAAAGCUCUAAAGAAGAAAGUGUGAAAAGCUCUAAAGAAGAAAGCGGGGGAAGCACUAAAGAAUUAAGUGUUGGAAGCACUGAAGAAUUAAGUUUUGGAAGCUCUGAUCAAGAAAGGUUGAAACCUCGGAGGAGUGUGAGGAAAUAUGUAAAGAAGAAGGUGUCGAAACUUCUGAAUGCAUUGAAAUAAUUGAAGAGGAAAGUGUUGUAAGCUCUAAGAAGAAAGUGAGUGAAGAAUUUGUUAAUUUUAGGCUUAUUAUAAACUUAUGAAAACCAAGUUUGUAGGCUCCUGAGUCCUGGGUGAAGUUAAUAAGGUCAUCAUUGCUGAAUAAGUUCUCUGUUGCUUUCAUGAGUUCAUGCACUGGCUAAUGUUGAUCAGUAUACCUCUCUUGUACAGUUUCAAUCCAGAUUGGUGGUUGGGAAUUUGUGUAACCAUAUAUGUUGAUAUAUUGAGCAAAGAUGUUCACCAUCCCGCUUUCGGGAGAAAACAAACAGAGAGGAUUUCUUGCUGCAAUUCUUCAAGUGCAGGUCAGAGGUCCAUCAAUAUAAGAUGUUGUUGUAUUUUUGGUUUCCAUUUGAUCUGAACAAUUUCAGCUGUGUGUGUUGUAAUGUUUUCCUGCUCCAAUGACACCAUGGCUAAGUUGUAACAAUACACUGUUCAAUUAAGUGUUGUUUUACAACAUAUUGAAAUGCUCUUUGGUGCCAAGAAAAAAAAGAAGGAACGAAGGUGCAUCUACUUUGA